rnacentral:pre_miRNA from 1 species
UCUAGAACUCAAGAUAUGAGCUGAAAACCAAACAGUGUUUGAGCUGCAGGACAGGUUCUGACUUCUCCGUUGUUGCUAAGAUUUGAACUUGAAAACGGCAGAAUUGAGUCUUGGACCCUUCAUGAAAGUUUUAGUCUAUAUCUUAUCUUUCCAUC